UGGGGAAUUUUGGACAAUGGGCGAAAGCCUGAUCCAGCAAUGCCGCGUGUGUGAAGAAGGCCUUCGGGUUGUAAAGCACUUUUGUCCGGAAAGAAAUCCUUGGCUCUAAUACAGUCGGGGGAUGACGGUACCGGAAGAAUAAGCACCGGCUAACUACGUGCCAGCAGCCGCGGUAAUACGUAGGGUGCAAGCGUUAAUCGGAAUUACUGGGCGUAAAGCGUGCGCAGGCGGUUUGCUAAGACCGAUGUGAAAUCCCCGGGCUCAACCUGGGAACUGCAUUGGUGACUGGCAGGCUAGAGUAUGGCAGAGGGGGGUAGAAUUCCACGUGUAGCAGUGAAAUGCGUAGAGAUGUGGAGGAAUACCGAUGGCGAAGGCAGCCCCCUGGGCCAAUACUGACGCUCAUGCACGAAAGCGUGGGGAGCAAACAGGAUUAGAUACCCUGGUAGUCCACGCCCUAAACGAUGUCAACUAGUUGUGGGAUUCAUUCCUUAGUAACGUAGCUAACGCGUGAAGUUGACCGCCUGGGGAGUACGGUCGCAAGAUUAAAACUCAAAGGAAUUGAC
rnacentral:rRNA from 1 species